rnacentral:rRNA from 1 species
CCUACGGGAGGCAGCAGUGAGGAAUAUUGGUCAAUGGACGAGAGUCUGAACCAGCCAAGUAGCGUGAAGGAUGACUGCCCUAUGGGUUGUAAAAUUCUUUUAUAUGGGAAUAAAAUGUUCCACGUGUGGGAUUUUGUAUGUACCAUAUGAAUAAGGAUCGGCUAACUCCGUGCCAGCAGCCGCGGUAAGACGGAGGAUCCGAGCGUUAUCCGGAUUUAUUUGGUUUAAAGGUAGCGUAGGUGGAUUGUUAAGUAAGUUGUUACAGUUUGCGGCUCAAACGUAAAAUUGAAGUUGAAACUGGCAGUCUGUAGUACAGUAGAGGUGGGCGGAAUUCGUGGUGUAGCAGUGGAAUGCUUAGAUAUCACGAAGAACUCCGAUUGCGAAGGCAGCUCACUGGACUGCAACUGACACUGAGGCUCGAAAGUGUGGGUAUCAAACAGGAUUAGAUACCCUUGUAGUC